GUCCUGAGCUAUUCAUCAUAGAGGACUUCUCUCUGAUUCAGCUGUUCUGAACCCUUUCUCUACUUCUGUCCCCACAUGCACAGAAACUUUGUCUUUACAUGUGAUCUAAGAUAAACCUAGAAUCCUAGGCCCUGUGAAGAUUUAUGGAUACAACCAAAUCCUCAGGCUCCUGGCCACCUCACUACAUCCAUUGUUGAUUUGGUCAAAGUUCUCCCAGAGGAACUUUUUGCAAAUAGGUACAUACAUGUGCCUGUGGUACAUGAACAUCCCUGUGCAUGGAAAAAUGGUGUGGAUAGACCAUUGUGUGAGCCUGUGUGUAUGGUCUGGAAACUACCGAGAUACAGCUUUGGGGACUGUUUUAGAGGCUGAACCAGAGCAUAGACUGGUACCAGGGAUUGAACUCAGAGGCACUAGACCACAGAACCACA